UACGUAGGGGGCAAGCGUUGUCCGGAAUCAUUGGGCGUAAAGCGCGUGUAGGCGGUUCGGUAAGUCUGGUGUGAAAACUUUGGGCUUAACCCAAAGCGUGCAUCCGAUACUGCUGUGACUUGAGUUCGGUAGGGGAGCAGGGAAUUCCUAGUGUAGCGGUGAAAUGCGCAGAUAUUAGGAGGAACACCGGUGGCGAAGGCGCUGCUCUGGGCCGAAACUGACGCUGAGGAGCGAAAGCGUGGGUAGCAAACAGG
rnacentral:rRNA from 1 species